UGGCGGCAGGCCUAACACAUGCAAGUCGAACGGAUCCUUCGGGGAUUAGUGGCGGACGGGUGAGUAACACGUGGGAACGUGCCCUUUGGUUCGGAACAACUCAGGGAAACUUGAGCUAAUACCGGAUGAGCCCUUCGGGGGAAAGAUUUAUCGCCAUUGGAGCGGCCCGCGUCUGAUUAGCUAGUUGGUGAGGUAAAGGCUCACCAAGGCGACGAUCAGUAGCUGGUCUGAGAGGAUGAUCAGCCACAUUGGGACUGAGACACGGCCCAAACUCCUACGGGAGGCAGCAGUGGGGAAUCUUGCGCAAUGGGCGAAAGCCUGACGCAGCCAUGCCGCGUGAAUGAUGAAGGUCUUAGGAUUGUAAAAUUCUUUCACCGGGGACGAUAAUGACGGUACCCGGAGAAGAAGCCCCGGCUAACUUCGUGCCAGCAGCCGCGGUAAUACGAAGGGGGCUAGCGUUGCUCGGAAUUACUGGGCGUAAAGGGAGCGUAGGCGGACUGUUUAGUCAGAGGUGAAAGCCCAGGGCUCAACCUUGGAAUUGCCUUUGAUACUGGCAGUCUUGAGUACGGAAGAGGUAUGUGGAACUCCGAGUGUAGAGGUGAAAUUCGUAGAUAUUCGGAAGAACACCAGUGGCGAAGGCGACAUACUGGUCCGUUACUGACGCUGAGGCUCGAAAGCGUGGGGAGCAAACAGGAUUAGAUACCCUGGUAGUCCACGCUGUAAACGAUGAGUGCUAGUUGUCGGCAUGCAUGCAUGUCGGUGACGCAGCUAACGCAU
rnacentral:rRNA from 1 species